CAGAGAUCGAACUGUCAUAGAAUUUUGGAAUAUUCAUGCUCAAUUUAAAUACAUAAUUGCACGAAAUCAGAUUUAAAAAAAUAAAACAUUUUAGAAGAGAACGCAGCAUCACUGAACCAAUGAGCAUUAACCCAGCUAACACACGACGUAACUGUUACGUAACCUAUUGGUAAUUUUUGGUAAUUUCAUGAUUUACCAAUAGGCAACGUAACCACGACGUCGUAUGCACGUAAUUCCAUUACCAUCCCAUUACCAACUCGCAACGUCGUCAGUACGUCCUCCUAAAGUAACAGGAUAACCAAGAACGUCCCAGAUAGGUACUCUAAUCGUAAUAUAUUGGUAACUUCAUGACUUACUGGCAACGUAACUGCAACCUCGUAUGCACGUAAUUACAUUACCAUAAUUUUUGUACGUUCUGCUCUCUGAUUACUAUAAUGCUAUUUAAAAAGUGUGAUUAAACUUCAGACACAAGAUUGAACGUUCCUUCCCAUUCUUUUCACCAAGUCAGAAUAUGGACGAUUGCUUUUAAUAUGCCUUUAUAUAGCCCUAUUUAUAAAUUCACAUCAAUUACACCCAUACAGCACUGUUAAAUAUGUUGAAAUAUAUUUUGAAAAUAUAUUUUAAAAAUACAUAAAACAAAGUUUAAAAAUUGUUCCUCAUGAUACAUGUGUAAAUAUGUGUACGAAAAAAUAUAUUCCUAUGCCUUAGUUUUUAAUGAAUGUUUUUUCAAUGUUUCUACACCAUGUUUACCAUUUCUAAAGCUAUUAUAUAUGAUAUUAUAUUAUAUUAUUUACGUAAAAUUCUGCGUGACUUCUAUGUGCUUUAAUGGGCGAGCGCUGAGCUGGAGCUGAGGAAGUCACCAUGGAAACGGGGUGGCAGCUCAACUGUCAAGCAGCAACUUCGUCUUUUACUGUUGUUUUUACUAAUUUCAGAAGCGUCAGAAAAAACCCUCUAUGACACAGGAGAAGUUCCUGAUUUUAACAUUUCUGAAGGGAGCUGCUGACAGAGAAAUAGAAAACACAGAUUCUUCCAUGCUGACGGCCGUGCACAAGAGUUGGAGCGUAUCUCCUGUCGAAGAGCAUCUCUAGACAUUAUGAACCAUCUGUCUAAGACUGAAAAUCAUCAAUAAACCAAAAGUUUGGUUUAACUCCAACCCCAAUUAAGCAGACCUGAGCAGCUAAUCAAGGAUCACCAGAAACUCUGCAGAACGUUGGUCCUCCAUGCCCAGGACUGGACACCAGUGUUCUAAAUAAAACCAAAGGCCAUUCAGCCACAGGUCACUGCAUCUUUUGCUGUAUGCUGGUGAAAAAAAUGCCAGGCUAAAGCAUUCAAAGUGGAAACUUCUGUUGUGGCUCAGUAAUCCAGGACUGGGAUGGUGGAAGGAGCAGAAGAUCAGAGAUCAGGCAGAGAUCUAUUGGUGCGCCUGAGGGAACCGAUUUACCUAAUGUCUUAGUUAAACCAAAAAUUCUCAUCACUCACCUCCAUGUCGUUCCAAACCUGUAAGACUUUUGUUCAUCUUUGAAACAUAAAUGUAUAUCUUUUUAAUGAAAUCUGAGAAAUUUCUGCCCCUCCAUUUCACAGUUUAUGCAACUACCACUUUCAAGCCUCAGAAAGGUAAUAAAUACAUCAUUAAAGUAAACCCAUGUGACUCCAGUUGUUUAACCUCAAUUUAUGAAGUGAUGUGAAUGUUUUGUGUGCACAAAAAACAUUGCAUUUUUAUUUACAAAAUAACAUGUUCACGAGAGCACCAUCAUGCAUCACUGUUGCGUUGGCGUGAGAGCUGGCCAUCUCAUGGUGCUUUUGUGAAAAUGCUUUGGAGAUACAUAAUUUGUGAAUAAAGACAUACUAUUUUUGUUAUUGCUGUUUUUUUGCGUACACAUGGCAUCUGUUAAAAAUAUCUUCAUUUGUGUUCUGCACAAAAGGGUCUUAUGGGUUUGGAGCGACAUGAGGGUAAGUAAUUAAUGACAGAAUUUACAUUUUUGGGUGAAAUAUGUUCUAAUGUGGUUAUAAUUGGUCAUUGUUAAUUAUUUUAUG